GUAGACCCAUUGUAGCAGCGAUCGAAUCUGAUAUCCAACAUUUCUAAGUUUGUGGAUUACCACAUUAAACCGAUGGUUGCGAAUCUCCCAUCUUAUGUCAAAGACACCAGUCACAUUGAUAAAGGGCUUAGGAAGGAUACCAGAGGGCACCCUGCUGGCCACUUUUGAUGUGGAGAGCUUGUUCACUAACAUCCCACACACUGGAGGCUUGCAGGCUCUGCUACACUUCCUUCAGCAGAGAGACUAUACCCUUGCUCCAUCCAAUGAUUGCAUCUUACAACUUACUGAACUGGUAUUAUCCAAUAACUACUUCAUCUUUGAGUCAGACUUUUUCAUUCGAAUUCGGGGUGCCAUGGGCUCCCCCUUUCCCCCCAACUAUGCAAACCUGUAUGUGGGACAAUUUGAGGAAGCACUCCUUUACAAAACAGAGACACACGUCCUACUUUCUAAAAUUCUCCUAUGGAAGAGAUACAAAAACUCAGCAAAAAAAGAAACGUCCUCUCACUGUCAACAGCGUUUAUUUUCAGGAAACUUAAAUAAAUGUAAAUAUUUCUAUGAACAUAACAAGAAUCAACAACUGAGACAUAAACUGAACAAGUUCCACAUACAUGUGACAAAAAGAAAUGGAGUAAUGUGUCCCUGAACAAAGGGGGGGUCAAAAUCAAAAGUAACAGUCAGUAUCUGGUGUGGCCUCCAGCUGCAUAAAGUACUGCAGUGCAUCUCCCCCUCAUGGACUGCACCAGAUUUGCCAGUUCUUGCUGUGAGACGCUACCCCACUCUUCCACCAAGGCACCUGCAAGUUCCUGGACAUUUCUGCGGGGAAUGGCCCUAUGUCACGUCCUGACCAAAGCAUUGAGCAUGUUGCUCUACCAAGGAGAGGAGGUAGCGUCGAGAUCCUACUACUACAAAGGGAGGCUUACUGGAUAUCCUAUCUAAAAACAUUGACCCCUAGGGGUCUGAAUAUUGACUUUGAUCUCAGGCCCUUCUUAUGAACAAUUCUUUAUUUUAUGAACAAGUCUUAUAAAUUGAUAUAUUCUUUCUACAUAGCGUACAUCUAAUAUGUUCCCCCUGUUGAUGAUGCUUAUUAUGCCUUACGGUUGAACCAAAAGAUUAC
rnacentral:lncRNA from 1 species